rnacentral:rRNA from 1 species
AUACGUAGGAUCCGAGCGUUGUCCGGAUUUACUGGGCGUAAAGGGUGCGUAGGCGGUUUGUCAAGUCUUAUGUGAAAUCUCCCGGCUCAACUGGGAGGGUCAUAGGAAACUGGCAGACUUGAGGGCAGUAGAGGAGAGCGGAAUUCCUGGAGUAGCGGUGAUAUGCGUAGAUACCAGGAGGAACACCAGAGGCGAAAGCGGCUCUCUGGGCUGUACCUGACGCUGAGGCACGAAAGCGUGGGGAGCAAACAGGAUUAGAAACCCCGGUAGUCC